rnacentral:snoRNA from 1 species
UUGUAGCUACUUAAGCUAUGCAAGUUCCUUUCCUCAAAGAGGCUUAGAGAACAAAGGCCUCAAAUAUUGGCCUCCUUAAGAGGCCUAGAUAGGUCGCCCAAGAUAACUUAUGCACAAUG